CUAUGGGACAGAAGCAAUGAUACCACUUGAUAUCAGAUUAUCUUUAAUAAGGGUUGAGCAAUAUAGUGAGUUGAGCAAUUUUGAAUGUUGGAGAGUCGAUCUAGAUCUACUUCUAGAAAUUCGACAGUAAGCUUAAGUUCGAAUGACAGCAUAUCGGCAAAGGAUAGCCUGGUAUUACAAUACAAAAGUUAAACCGAAGAUCUUCCAUCCAGGAGAUUGGAUCUUAAGCAGAGUGGAAGUCUCGAGACCUCUUGACCAGAAAAAGUUAUCUCUGAACUAGGAAGGAUCCUACAGAAUAACGGAACACUUCGAUUGGGCGCAUAUCGGCUAAAAACUCUAGAGGGAGUAACCAUUCUCCGAACAUGAAAUGCUGAUAACUUGAAAAUAUAUUAUUAAUAAAGUUAUCCGUUUAUAUAUCAUUCAGAAUGAAAUAUUGAAUUUCAGAAUCACAAGUUUCAGUCAACUAUAAAGUGAUAAUAGACCGAC
rnacentral:lncRNA from 1 species